rnacentral:rRNA from 1 species
CAGCAGUGGGGAAUAUUGCACAAUGGGCGCAAGCCUGAUGCAGCCAUGCCGCGUGUAUGAAGAAGGCCUUCGGGUUGUAAAGUACUUUCAGCGAGGAGGAAGGUGUUGUGGUUAAUAACCGCAGCAAUUGACGUUACUCGCAGAAGAAGCACCGGCUAACUCCGUGCCAGCAGCCGCGGUAAUACGGAGGGUGCAAGCGUUAAUCGGAAUUACUGGGCGUAAAGCGCACGCAGGCGGUUUGUUAAGUCAGAUGUGAAAUCCCCGGGCUCAACCUGGGAACUGCAUUUGAAACUGGCAAGCUUGAGUCUCGUAGAGGGGGGUAGAAUUCCAGGUGUAGCGGUGAAAUGCGUAGAGAUCUGGAGGAAUACCGGUGGCGAAGGCGGCCCCCUGGACGAAGACUGACGCUCAGGUGCGAAAGCGUGGGGAGCAAACAGGAUUAGA